rnacentral:rRNA from 1 species
UGAACGCUGGCGGCAUGCCUUACACAUGCAAGUCGAACGGCAGCACGGGAGCAAUCCUGGUGGCGAGUGGCGAACGGGUGAGUAAUACAUCGGAACGUACCUGGUAGUGGGGGAUAGCCCGGCGAAAGCCGGAUUAAUACCGCAUACGACCUGAGGGUGAAAGCGGGGGAUCGCAAGACCUCGCGCUAUUGGAGCGGCCGAUGGCAGAUUAGGUAGUUGGUGGGGUAAAGGCCUACCAAGCCUACGAUCUGUAGCUGGUUUGAGAGGACGACCAGCCACACUGGGACUGAGACACGGCCCAGACUCCUACGGGAGGCAGCAGUGGGGAAUUUUGGACAAUGGGCGAAAGCCUGAUCCAGCCAUGCCGCGUGCGGGAAGAAGGCCUUCGGGUUGUAAACCGCUUUUGUCAGGGAAGAAAUACUCUGGGCUAAUACCCUGGGGUGAUGACGGUACCUGAAGAAUAAGCACCGGCUAACUACGUGCCAGCAGCCGCGGUAAUACGUAGGGUGCGAGCGUUAAUCGGAAUUACUGGGCGUAAAGCGUGCGCAGGCGGUUGUGUAAGACAGAUGUGAAAUCCCCGGGCUCAACCUGGGAACUGCAUUUGUGACUGCACGGCUUGAGUGCGGCAGAGGGGGAUGGAAUUCCGCGUGUAGCAGUGAAA